rnacentral:rRNA from 1 species
GACGAACGCUGGCGGCGUGCUUAACACAUGCAAGUCGAACGGAAAGGCCCACCACCUUGGUGGUGGGUACUCGAGUGGCGAACGGGUGAGUAACACGUGGGUGAUCUGCCCCGCACUGUGGGAUAAGCCUGGGAAACUGGGUCCAAUACCACAUACGACCAUGGCGUAGGGGUCAUGGUGGAAAGCCUUGUGCGGUGUGGGAUGAGCCCGCGGCCUAUCAGCUUGUUGGUGGGGUAAUGGCCUACCAAGGCGGCGACGGGUAGCCGGCCUGAGAGGGUGGACGGCCACAUUGGGACUGAGACACGGCCCAGACUCCUACGGGAGGCAGCAGUGGGGAAUAUUGCACAAUGGGCGCAAGCCUGAUGCAGCGACGCCGCGUGGGGGAUGAAGGCCUUCGGGUUGUAAACUCCUUUCGCCCGGGACGAAGCCCACCUGGUGGGGACGUACCGUGAGAAGAAGC